ensembl:lncRNA
CCUGAAGUGAAACCAGGGCAACUUUACUGACGUCUUCAGAAGUGAACUCAGAUUUACAAUGAACCUUAUGAAUUCGGAGUACAGCCAUACUGGAAUAUUGUUCCAAGCACACCAGGAAGGCUUUUGUAAAGAAAACAUGUUGCUCUGCAAAUAGAAUUUGUAGUCAACUUUUGCCAGAAUUUCAUCCAUGGCCUAAAUGUUCAGCCAAGGUAAAUGAGCACAAUUCCAUGAUGCCAGCAUGGACUUCAGCCCCUUAAUAUCUUCCAUGGGACUGUGGCAGUAUUUGCAGAACUGCCGUCUCUUCAAAGCAGAUGUUGAAACAGCUUGCAAAACUACUAGGUGUCAGAGAUGGAUGUUGAUGGUAUGGCAGUAAAAGUUGAACAACCCCAUCAAUAUUUGGUUACAUUUAGUUGCUAUGCAACAGAUGGCAGCAGAAGGGCAGUCUGACAGAACAGUGUCUGACAUGGAAGUGAGUAUAAAGCAUGAAGACAUCCAUCAUGAGUUGGGAGCAACAUAUCCACUAGUGGAAGACCCACUGCUUCCAGCUCAGUGCUCUUGUCAUUCAUCUUGAAUGUCACAGUGCAACACAACUUCCACCCUUCCACUGCUGGAACUGCUGUCCAAGGUACUCACAGACAUGUCCAGGGAGAGGACGUGUUGCACAGCAGGGUGUGCUGCCCUGUUCACCUGCUGUUCU